UACCUCCUCUGUAGGACUCUCUCUUUCAAGAAACUCGCUCAAAUGUUCCACUUCCCAAACGUCUUCGCUAGCCACGUGAAAACACGUGGUUCUUCAUAAGCCUCAAGAUUAAGACAAUCACUUGUUGCUUUAGAAUCAAAGAUAUCUUAGUCUCAAAAUGGCAAGAUCUCCUUAUUACAGAUAAGGUAUAGAGCAAUAGAAUAAUGGCAAAACAGUUGGAGCAGUUUUAUGAAUUUCCAGAGGAUUAUGCCUCAGCACAGACAAAUGAGAAUAUGUAUGAACUUCCAGAAAUUCAUAGGAAUGAAGAAAAGAAAAGCCAUCUAUCUACUCCUGCAGAACUAACUGUAUCUCCUGAUGUAGCAAUAGGGCCUAAACAAAGGCAGUCAUCUUGGAGUAAACCACAGCUUUGUAUGACAGUAUUACUCUGUCUCAUAUUGAUAUUAUUAAUAAUUAUACUGGGCAUUGUAGUGUAUGAUAAGUAUGCUACUGGUAAUAAUGUUGAGUGUACUAAUACUGCAACUGGUGCUAGCAGUAGUAGUAAUACAAAUGAAUGGGCUGAUCGUAUAGCUCAAAAUAUUAGCCAGAAAAUUCCCAACUUCAAUGAAUGGGCCGAUCGUGUAGCUAAAAAAGUUUUUAAUGACAGCCUAAAUAUCAGUGAAGGGGCUGUUCAUGUAAUCAAUGAAACAAUAAUGCAGAGCCUUCCUGACUUCAAUGAAUGGGCUAAUGGUGUUGUCUCUAAAGUUAAC